rnacentral:rRNA from 1 species
AUGUCGGCAUGGUUUUACAUCCCAGAAUGUGCUUGCACUAUUGACUUUGACAUGAGGUUUACCUUUGUGGUUGCGGGUUGGCCGGGCUCUGCCCAUGACUCAAGGAUCCUGAAUCAUGCAUUAGCACACUUCUCUUCAUUUCUUGUACCUCCCAAAGGGAAAUACUAUCUUGUGGACUAUGGGUAUGCAAACCGAAUAGGAUAUUUUGCUCCUUUUAAGGGGAGUACGUAUCAUCUACCGGAAUUCCGUCUUCAUCGGCACCGUCCACCUCAAGGGAAGUAUGAGUUGUUCAACUUUUCACAUUCGUCCCUUCUCAAUGUCGUUGAGCGUGCUUUUGGGGUGCUCAAGCAGAAAUGGCGCAUAUUGAAAGGGGUCCCAAGUUAUUACUUGCAUGGCAUUGCACAACUUCAUUCGUGA